rnacentral:rRNA from 1 species
GAUGAACGCUGGCGGCGUGCCUAAUACAUGCAAGUCGAGCGAACAGAUGAGGAGCUUGCUCCUCUGACGUUAGCGGCGGACGGGUGAGUAACACGUGGAUAACCUACCUAUAAGACUGGGAUAACUUCGGGAAACCGGAGCUAAUACCGGAUAAUAUAUUGAACCGCAUGGUUCAAUAGUGAAAGACGGUUUUGCUGUCACUUAGAGAUGGAUCCGCGCCGCAUUAGCUAGUUGGUAAGGUAACGGCUUACCAAGGCAACGAUGCGUAGCCGACCUGAGAGGGUGAUCGGCCACACUGGAACUGAGACACGGUCCAGACUCCUACGGGAGGCAGCAGUAGGGAAUCUUGGACAAUGGGCGCAAGCCUGACGGAGCAACGCCGCGUGAGUGAUGAAGGUCUUCGGGUCGUAAAACUCUGUUAUUAGGAAAGAACAAAUGUGUAAGUAACUCUGCACGUCUUGACGGUACCUAAACAGAAAGCCACGGCUAACUACGUG